GGAGAAACAGUAGCGAAAGCGGCUGUGGAGUUUACUGAAGUGAGAAUGCCGGAAUGAGUAGCGCGAAUGAUGUGAGAAUCAUCAUGGCCGGAAACCUCAGGUUUUUGGAGGAAGGUUCGUCCGCUCCAAGUUAGGCGGGAGCUAAGGUGAGGCCGAAAGGCGUAGCCGAUGCACAGACGGUAGAGAUUCCGUCCCCACCGAAAGAUUUAAGCGCAGGGACACUUUUAGAAGGUCGGAGCCAGGUGUUGGUUCUGGUAGAGAUCGAGGGAAGAUUAGUACCGAAGUCCGGCUGGAUAAGGGGCGAGAAAAGCUGCGUGUAUAUCUAAGGUGCCCGUACCGCAAACCGACACAGGUAGGUAGGAAGAAGAUUCUAAGGCCAACGGGAGAAGGGUUGUUAAGGAACUCGGCAAGUUGACCCCGUAACUUCGGAAUAAGGGGUGCUCAUGAAAGUGAGCCGCAGAGAAUAGGCCCAGGCAACUGUUUACCAAAAACACAGGUUCGUGCUAAAUCGAAAGAUGACGUAUACGAGCUGACGCCUGCCCGGUGCUGGAAGGUUAAAAGGAGAUGUGCAAGCAUUGAAUUGAAGCCCCAGUGAACGGCGGCCGUAACUAUAACGGUCCUAAGGUAGCGAAAUUCCUUGUCAGGUAAGUUCUGACCCGCAUGAAAGGCGUAAUGAUCUGGGCACUGUCUCAACAGCCCGCCCGGCGAAAUUGUAGUACCGGUGAAGAUGCCGGUUACCCGCGACAAGACGGAAAGACCCCAUGGAGCUUUACUGUAGCCUAAUAUUGGGUUUCGGUGUUGCAUGCACAGGAUAGAUGGGACGCUGGGAAGUGAGUGCUUUGGCAUUCAUGGAGCGGCCGUUGGGAUACCAUCCUUGCGACAUUGGAAUUCUAACCUGCGCCUUUGAAUCAAGGCGGGGGACAUUGUUAGGUGGGCAGUUUGACUGGGGCGGUCGCCUCCUAAAGAGUAGCGGAGGCGUUCAAAGGUUGGCUCGUCCUGGACGGAAACCAGGAGAGAGAGUGCAAACGCAAAAGCCAGCCUGACUGCGAGACUGACGGGUCGAGCAGAGACGAAAGUCGGAGUUAGUGAUCCGGUGGUAUGUGAGUGGAAAUGCCAUCGCUCAACGGAUAAAAGUUACCCUGGGAUAACAGGCUGAUCUCCCCCAAGAGUCCACAUCGACGGGGAGGUUUGGCACCUCGAUGUCGGCUCAUCGCAUCCUGGGGCUGUAUUCGGUCCCAAGGGUUUGGCUGUUCGCCAAUUAAAGCGGUACGCGAGCUGGGUUCAGAACGUCGUGAGACAGUUCGGUCCCUAUCUGUCGUGGGCGCAGGAUAUUUAAAAGGCGCUGUCCCUAGUACGAGAGGACCGGGAUGGACGAACCUCUGGUGCACCAGUUGUCACGCCAGUGGCACAGCUGGGCAGCUAUGUUCGGAUCGGAUAAACGCUGAAAGCAUCUAAGCGUGAAGCCGGCCUUAAGAUAAGAUAUCCC
rnacentral:rRNA from 1 species